rnacentral:sRNA from 1 species
UCAUGACUGACAAAGUAAUCUUGUUAAAAAAAUUUCAUCACUUUAAACUCUUUCCUACUAGAACCAGUGCGAGUUUAUGUAAAACCACUUUAAUAUAUUCAGGAGUUCAUCAUUAACUUAUUCAGGAGUUUCAGUUAUAAUCUCAGAAGAUAGCUCCGACCGGGUAUCAAAACUAGAGAAAAAGGUUAGUGCUUUAUAGCAUUGUGUGUUUUCUCAUAUUUCAGUUGUGUGGUUCUGUCUGUUUGAUGUAGUUAUUGUUCCUUAUUUUGUGUAUGAUAUCCUUUUAAUUGGCUUAAUUGAUGUGUAACUUGCUGGAAAAUUUUGUGUGAGUCUGCGGAUGUAGGAGUUGAUAAAGAGACUUGAAUAAGGUAAGCUUUCGUGAUGAAUUGGUAAAUCAUUUUCUAGAUUCUGAACCUUGACUUAUACUGAAACUCACGCCAUAAAAAGCACAAAUUCAACGUAUUAAGUGAAUAAGGUUUGAACUAAUAAUCCUUGAACAAUGGCUGGUGGAGUUGCACUGAGAGGUAAGAUAAUAUGAGCCGAGGAAACAACCAAAUGACGACAGGGAGGAUUCUGAUUUCAAGAUGAAGGAUUGCUUCCUCGGCUGCAAAGACGGUUUGACGACCACCAUUUAAUACAAGGUUUGAACUGGUGAUCUUUUCUCUCCAAGACUAUUCCCUUGGGAAGGUAUUUCUAAUUACCAGAUAAAGUCCAUGUAAGUCAUUCAGUUUAACCAGACAAUAACUAAUUCCCUCUCUGAUAAUUCUGCUGAUCAGCUUCUUUUUGUUUUUCUUGAUGCGAGAAUGAAUCUUAGUUCAAGUGGGUUACAAGGACCAAUAGCCUUUUCCUUUAGAGAUCUCUCCCUCCUCGAGUUAUCGUAAGUGUACAAAUGCAAGCCAUACAAACACACACUUUCCAAGAGCUUUCUUCAGUUGAAAUGGAACUUAUUGACAAACGGUUUGAAGAUGAAGGAUUGUUUGGCUGCAAAGAAAAUCAUUCAGUAGCCAACAAAGUUUAAACAAGGUUUUCAUAAGAAAGAGCAAAAGUUUCAGAUACGUGUCAAUAUACUCAUGAAUGAUGAGAGGUUUCAGCUAUGAUCUUCCAUUUAUUCAGAGGAUAGCUCCGACGGAGUAUCCAAAUUAGAAAAUGAAAUAACUUUGUGUGAAUCUGCUGAUGUAUCUAUUAAGGAGUUGAUAAAGAGACUUAAUGAAGGCCCAAAGUCUUGGCGUUGAGAACUUGAUGAUGAUAGAUAUUAUAAACUUGCAAAUAUUUGCAUUAUAUAUUCAGAAAACGAGAAGCAGAAUCUCGCUUCGUUUUUUUCCUAUCUUGCUUUCCAUUAGUUUCUAAAAGUGCUUUCAGUCCAAUGUCUUGGCGUUGAGAACUCGAUGAUGCGAAAAAAGAGAAGCAUGUAUUUAUCAUUUCUAUCUGUUCACACCAUCGAAAGGAUAAAACCAAUGUAUAAAGUCAAUAAGGUUUGGACUGGUGAUCCUUGCUCUCCAAGACUAUUCUUUUGAAAGGAAUUCUACUGAUGAGCUUAGUUCAAGUGGAUUACAAGGACCAAUAGCUGUCUCAUUUAGAAAUCUCUCCCUUUUUGAGUCAUUGAAAUUACUUGACUGGGUUUGCCCCAAGAUCUCAUAGGAAAAAAACAAUGGCUAGUGAACUUGCACAGAGAGGUACAUUUUCUUGUCAAAACCUCGGUACCAUAGUCAUCUUCUUAAGACAAUCUUUGUCUGUACCAUUUUCUGUAGCUUCUUAAUUUUCUCUCUGUUUCCAGUGUAGAUGAAUAGA